rnacentral:rRNA from 1 species
UACGUAGGGUCCGAGCGUUGUCCGGAAUUACUGGGCGUAAAGAGCUCGUAGGUGGUUUGUCGCGUUGUUCGUGAAAACUCACAGCUCAACUGUGGGCGUGCGGGCGAUACGGGCAGACUGGAGUACUGCAGGGGAGACUGGAAUUCCUGGUGUAGCGGUGGAAUGCGCAGAUAUCAGGAGGAACACCGGUGGCGAAGGCGGUUCUCUGGGCAUUAACUGACGCUGAGGAGCGAAAGUGUGGGGAGCGAACAGG